AUAAUGAUACUCCCACCCAGUCACAGUCCGAGCGUGAUAAAACCGUCGCAGGCAAUGAGGGUGGCUCGGAGGAACUCGGAGAGGUGAAAUUCCUGUGG
rfam:Clostridiales bacterium 41_21_two_genomes Ley3_66761_scaffold_12, whole genome shotgun sequence.